CUUUUGCUGGCGACCGACGCACGGGUGAGUAACACGUAUCCAACCUGCCCUUUACUCGGGGAUAGCCUUUCGAAAGAAAGAUUAAUACCCGAUAGCAUAAUGAUUCCGCAUGGUUUCAUUAUUAAAGGAUUCCGGUAAAGGAUGGGGAUGCGUUCCAUUAGGUUGUUGGUGAGGUAACGGCUCACCAAGCCUUCGAUGGAUAGGGGUUCUGAGAGGAAGGUCCCCCACAUUGGAACUGAGACACGGUCCAA
rnacentral:rRNA from 1 species